GAUUCAUGGCUCAGGAUGAACGCUAGCGACAGGCUUAACACAUGCAAGUCGAGGGGCAGCACGAUGUAGCAAUACAUUGGUGGCGACCGGCGCACGGGUGAGUAACGCGUAUGCAACCUACCUAUCAGAGGGGAAUAACCCGGCGAAAGUCGGACUAAUACCGCAUAAAACAGGGGUUCCACAUGGAAAUAUUUGUUAAAGAAUUAUCGCUGAUAGAUGGGCAUGCGUUCCAUUAG
rnacentral:rRNA from 1 species